CUGGCGCGUGGCGACGGCGGACGAGCCGAGGAUGUCUGAUAUGCUCGUCAUAUCCUCAUUUCCUCUCCUUCAUCGCUAAUAGUCAAGGGUUCAGCCUGAGACCACAGCCUCCAAGCCUAGGACUCGGAGUUGAACGAGCUUGCGGCGGCCGAGGAGGAAUCGGACGAUGUUGCUGGUGGAAACCUCAUGCGGAGCAAGGCUUCACCGACUAACUCCCAUUUCUACCUCUUUGCUAUGGAGACCGGUUCGAAUUCCACUAAGAAAUCGACCAGAGGAAGGCUGAAGAAGGUUAUCGAUCUGGCGGAGGAUGUUACUGAGGUUUCGGAGUUGAACGAGGUUGUGGCGGCCAAGGAGGAAUUGGACAAUGUUGCUGGUGGAAACCUCAUGUGGAGCAAGGCUUCACUGCCUGAGCGGAAACGGAUCUGGAAGAGGAAGCGAAGCAGCGUUGGCCUCACCGCUACCAGAAGGGCACAGAAAUCAAAUGGUGGAAUUAGGAGUAUAACUAAGUAAAUUUCCUCUGCUGCCAAGAUGAAUCUGGUGGGGUACUUCAGGCUAAGAGACAUUUUACAGCAGCAAAAGUUGAUGGCCUGGUUUAUAAGCUUGGGGGUGAUGCUUAUGUUAAGAUGGCCCUCCCCGGAUCCUCCCAAUGAUGGCGCUUAGAGGAGAUGAAUUAUUGUUGCACCAAUUGUUGAAAUGGGGCCUUCACCCAA